CAGGUAAAAUUCUCCCUUAAAUAGGAUUCUCAUUAUUGUUCUUUUAGGAUCCGAGAGUUAUUUUAUUUGGGUAUCGAAUUGUGAUUGUCACAUUGUCACAGAUCAGCAGUGACUUGUGCAUAAUGAAUUACUGUUCUUUCUUACAGGUUGCAAGUAAACCUCUAAUGAUUGUAGGGUCUAAUUAGCAACAGUGUCAACUCUUUUAACUAGAAAUAAUUGAUUAAAAACUUUCACUGUGAGAGCUCCACCCAUUCCUAAGAAACACCCAAUUUAAAAAAAGCACUGGAGCUCACGUGUCACUGGAUGAGAAAAGAAACUCUGUGUCACAGCAUGUAAUUCUGAACUAUAUGAUUUUCCUAAAGGUCUUGGACUUCAGGUGAAAAAAAGAAAAGUGUCUGUGGGGCUCAAGUUUGAGUUGAAACCAGGCUCAGGGUCCACCUGUCCUCGCUGAUCCGUGGAUUUCUGUGUGACCAGCUGACACCUAUGGAGCUGUGGCCCUGACUACUACCACUUUGGGACACAACCUGAAGACCCUCACAGUCACCUUCCCCAUCUCCACCCUCCAGUAUUCAUCAGACAGGAGCAAUGGCUCAGCCACGUUCCACUCCACUGAGAGGGUCCUGCAGAGCCUGCUGGAUCCUUGUUCAAGAAGAGCAGCCUGGGCCUCUUCUCCUUGAGUUGCAGACUGGUCUCCCUCAGGCCUGUGAAGGAUGGGGGAGCCACCUGUGUGGACGCUGUCUGCACCCACCACCGUGACCUCGUGGGCCACCAUGCCUCUGUGCUGGGAGCUGAGAGUCUCCACGUGUCUGCUCUUCCUCUCGGUGGCUCCAGGCUCUGCACCCUGGAGUUUAUGCAUGCA